rnacentral:rRNA from 1 species
UACAGAGGUCCCAAGCGUUGUUCGGAUUCAUUGGGCGUAAAGGGUGCGUAGGCGGCGCCGUAAGUCGGAUGUGAAAUCUCGGGGCUCAACCCCGAAACUGCAUUCGAUACUGCGGUGCUAGAGGACUCUAGAGGAAACUGGAAUCACGGUGUAGCAGUGAAAUGCGUAGAUAUCGGAAGGAACAUCAGUGGCGAAAAGCGGCUUCCCGUCG